rnacentral:sRNA from 1 species
UGCAUACCCUGGAGACUGAAGUCCUCUCUUUACCCACAGGACACCAGCAGCACAAGAUUCUCCCCUGUGCCCAGCCAAAGUUCAUCAUGAAGAUCCCCUUCAAAAAUCAAGUGAGGAAUUCAGUCUCCAUAAUGCCUUAGCCUCU